GUGCUCGCUUUGGCUGCACAUAUACUAAAACUGAAACGAUAACAGAGAAGAUUAGUGUGGCCCCAGCACAAGGAUGACACACAAAUACGUGAAGUGUUCCAUAAGAAG
ensembl:snRNA U6 U6 spliceosomal RNA